UUCUAUUCCGAACGAGCUGGCGUUAACUUACACCGUUGGUGUGUGGAGCUUGUGAUGUGGAUGGGAUGAGAAAACGUUGGAGGAAAGCAAGGGAGGGGGGAGGGUAGGAAGGAUCACCACCACUGAUGGAAAUCUGACCUGAGAUAUGUUUGUAAAUUAAUCAGCGACCCUCGUCUGUAUUCAUGAUCAUCGACCCCGAAAACCCCCGUGUAAGAAAAUUCAGGCAAAAAUAUUGAGCUGAAUAAUGUGCGACUGAAAGGGUUAAUCUGGAAGAUCGUCAUUUCAUUUAUGUAUUACACCAUGUGACAAAGAUUCGAGAACACAGAUUCUUAUAGAUACAAUGAAGAAGAUAUAAUACUUGAUGUGGAAAAAUGGUGUCAGAAUUUCGAAAACUGUGAUUUUUAUUUAUACAUACAAUAAUGCUAUGCUUGUCUAUGGAAAACUUAAGCGGAUAUCGAUACGACUUGCAAAAGUCUACAUAAAACGCAGUGCGAUGUAGCAGCUCGCCGACGCGCUACGCCGCUAACGUUGUCAUUAUCUCAGAGUGCUUGUAGCAGGAGGAAGUUCGCGCAAGAUCAAGUAUUUCUGGGAAGAGGGAAAGACCCGGGACCCUUGGAUAAAUGCGGAAGCCGAGGCGGGGUUAAAGAAAGAAUAAGAUGUUGGCUCUCCGUGUUAAAUGGUACCGAAAAUCGAUUAAGUGUCCUAGAGCUUUGAAUAUCGGUAAAUCAGCUCU